rnacentral:rRNA from 1 species
AGAGUUUGAUCCUGGCUCAGGACGAACGCUGGCGGCGUGCUUAACACAUGCAAGUCGAACGGAAAGGCCCUGCUUGCAGGGUACUCGAGUGGCGAACGGGUGAGUAACACGUGGGUGAUCUGCCAUGCACUUCGGGAUAAGCCUGGGAAACUGGGUCUAAUACCGGAUAGGAGCCAUUUUUAGUGUGAUGGUUGGAAAGUUUUUUCGGUGUAGGAUGAGCUCGCGGCCUAUCAGCUUGUUGGUGGGGUAAUGGCCUACCAAGGCGGCGACGGGUAGCCGGCCUGAGAGGGUGGACGGCCACAUUGGGACUGAGAUACGGCCCAGACUCCUACGGGAGGCAGCAGUGGGGAAUAUUGCACAAUGGGCGCAAGCCUGAUGCAGCGACGCCGCGUGGGGGAUGACGGCCUUCGGGUUGUAAACUCCUUUCGCUAGGGACGAAGCUUUUUGUGACGGUACCUAGAUAAGAAGCACCGGCUAACUACGUGCCGGCAGCCGCGGUAAUACGUAGGGUGCGAGCGUUGUCCGGAAUUACUGGGCGUAAAGGGCUCGUAGGUGGUUUGUCGCGUCGUCUGUGAAAUUCCGGGGCUUAACUCCGGGCGUGCAGGCGAUACGGGCAUAACUUGAGUACUGUAGGGGUAACUGGAAUUCCUGGUGUAGCGGUGAAAUGCGCAGAUAUCAGGAGGAACACCGAUGGCGAAGGCAGGUUACUGGGCAGUUACUGACGCUGAGGAGCGAAAGCAUGGGUAGCGAACAGGAUUAGAUACCCUGGUAGUCCAUGCCGUAAACGGUGGGCGCUAGGUGUGAGGGUCUUUUCACGACUUUCGUGCCGUAGCUAACGCAUUAAGCGCCCCGCCUGGGGAGUACGGCCGCAAGGCUAAAACUCAAAGGAAUUGACGG